ACAUUAGUUAUUCAGUGGUAGAGUUCUUGCCUUCCGUGCAGGAGGUCUUGGUUCGAUCCCAGCCAGUGCA
rnacentral:tRNA from 1 species